rnacentral:lncRNA from 1 species
AUCAGUGGGCACACACAUGGGUUCAGGAACGGUCAAAACAUUGCCAGACACACAGGUUCAAGGAGUGGCCAGAGCAUUGUGCACCUCUAUUUUUCUAAAUCAGUGAAGCUAGUUCUGCUAACAAUGACAUCUAUCUUGCCAAUUUCAGGGCUUCUGUGACCUUUUACAUUCUGUCAGGAUCUUCCAGUGUGCCACCACCACUCCACCUUUUUUUUUUUUAAAUUCUGCCUUUGGUUAUUUUUUAGGGAACUUUUUUUUUUUUCCUGGUUUCAGUGCUGGUAAUAUAUCUUGGGGCUUUGUGCAUGAUAAGUCAGUACUGAACUGCAUCCCUAACCAUGUGGUUUUUUUGUUUUUGUUUUUUUUUUUUGAGUCAGGGCUGCUUGCCUUCUGUAUACAGCCAUGCUGCCUCUUCACUGUAGGUGCCAGGGCGACAUGACCUUGUUGUCAUGCCUGGUCUGGUAACCAGCAUAGAAGGCCAUUCGUAGUCCCCAGUGCUGAGUGCAGGGGGCUGACAAAUCCUGAAUUACCAGGCAUUGCAGGUCAAGGAAAGGCUCUGCGAAGCAGUGGCACUCAUGGAGAUGAUGGCCGAAUGCUGACUGAAGUUAAUUGGGGAAGAGGUAAAGCGUUAGGGUCUGAAAAGUCACUGUUAGAGAAACAGGCUUGUAGAGGAUUUGUGCCAAGACGGGCAUGGAGAAUUUUUCUGUUGUAGUUUUCUAGUGUGUGAGAAGCCUAAGGAGGGUACAGUGACUAGAGGGAGGGGCCUGCAUCACAAAGUGAGAGUCCAGGAAGUGAGUGUGGCUUGACCAGGAGUGGUCUCGGAGUAGAUAGAGCAGCUCUGUAACCCAAAGGGUAGUCACUUGCACCCUCAAAACCAACAUGUACCCGAUGGAGAGCAAACCUAGUGUGUUCAGUGGCUAAGAGCCCCUGCUGCUCUAGCAGAGGACCUGAGUUUGGUGGCCAGCACCCACACUGGUCACCACACAAACAUUUGUAAUACCUCCAGGGGAACCCAGGCCCUUUUCUGUUCUUGACACACCCUUUCCUGGCUUUGGAAGAGACCACACACACACACACACACACACACACACUAAAAAGUAAAUGAAAUAUUAAACAAGAAAACUACUUUUUUCUUUUCUUGCAGAUAAUAUCUCACACAAUAGUAGCUCCAGCUAGCACUCAAUCAGGGCAAUUCUUAGUCUCCCCAGUUGUGCCGUUAUACUCAGUGUAUUUCUGGUACUUUCAUCACAGGAUAAAAAUUAUUAAACAGAGGCCAGACUGGGCAUUAUGGCCCAGGCCUUUGAUUCCCAGCACUUGGGAGACAGAGGUAGGCAGAUUUUUGUGAGUUCAAGGCCUGGUUUACAUAGAAUUCCAGUCUAGCCAGUGCCACAGUCAAAUCCUGUCUCAAUAACAAACAAAUAGGGGCCAGAGUUGGUAGUGUACUCUUAUAAACCCAGCAUUCAGAAAGAUGGGGCAUGUAGAUCACUUUUAAGUUCGAGGCCAGCCUGGGCUACAUAGGGAAACCUUAUCUCGAAUAACAACAAAACGUUUUAAAGUUAAAAAUGGAGCAAUUCAAAAUAAAUAGUAUGCAGUUCUGGAAUUGCUAUUUUCCCCACGUGGUUUUUCGUUUGUUCCUCACAGGAGGCUUCAGGCUUGAGCCCAAUGUCUAUAAACUGUCGCGCGUCUGCGAACUUGCGGCUUCGCGAAGCUUACGCAUGGCAGAAGCGCAGUCCCGGGCGAGCGACAGGGAGGCGAGUGGCCGCCAGUGACCCGUCGCAGGCGGAAGUGGGACGGGUCAAGAGAGGACUGUGAUCCGAUUGGCUGUUCGGCGACCGUAUGCUAAUCGCGGUGACAGUCUGCGUGGUGUAGGGACACGGUAGCGACUCAAAAUGCCCCGUGGACGGGGUCUGGAGAGGUGUCGGUCUGUCAGAGAAGGUGUCCCCGCGAGGGCAGACGCGGUGUGAGAUAGAGGCGCGGACAGGGAUGUCACGGGUCGUCUGUGCGUCAGUCGCCGUGACUAAGAUGUGGGGGCGGCCGGUGCAGUGCGGCGCGGUGUGGAGCGUGAGGUUAAGACUAUACUUUCAGGGAUCAUUUCUAUAGUUCGUUACUAGAGAAGUUUCUCUGACUGUGUAGAGCACCCGAAACCACGAGGACGAGACGUAGCGUUCCCUCCUGAGCGUGAAGCCGGCUCUAGGUGCUGCUUGACUGCAGCUGCCUCCUGCCAUUGAUGAUCGUUCUUCCCUCCUUUGGGAGGGUGAGAGGGAGGGAACGCAGUCUGAGUGGACGCGGUUUUAUUUUACAUGUUUGGAAAAGUCAGAAAACUUAUUUUCUCUUCUUUAAGGUUCUCUCAGUGGUUUGUCCUUUCUAUGGUGAACGCUUUUUGAGCACUUUGGUGCUUUAGACUGUGUACUGUGCCAUUCUCUUUUUAUUCUUAUUUUGUUAAGCUGUGUUAUGAGUUAGUAUAGUACAUAUUAAUUCUUGCUCUUACUUGUAUUAGCUUUUUUGAAGUGUUUUUUGUUUGUUUCUUUGGAUUUUUCCAAGACAGGGUUUCUUUGUGUAACCCUGGUUGGCCUUGAACUCAGCAGUCCUUCAGACUCUGCCCCCCAAAUGUUGAGAUUAAAGGCAUGGGCCACAACUGCCGGAACUCACUGAGGAUCACAUCCCUGGAAGGUCUGGCUUGGGUGUUUUAUAUGUGCACAUAACUAUUGAAAAGUAAAUUACCGGCUGGUGAGAUGGCUCAGUGGGUAAGAGCACCUGACUGCUCUUCCGGAAGAUCUGAAGUUCAAAUCCCAGCAACCACAUGGUGGCUCACAACCAUCCGUAAUGAGAUCUGACUCCCUCUUCUGGGGUGUCUGAAGACAGCUACAGUGUACUUACAUAUAAUUAAAAAAAAAAAAAAAGUAAAUUACUUGGAGAGCUGUUAGUUGGUCACUCAUCCUUUGACGAUUUGCAUAAGUGUUAUAAUCAUGUUCCACCACACUGAACAAUUUUUAGUGAAAGUUACAUGCAAAAUACAAAGGGUUUUGACAUGAAUUUUAUAUAUACACCUUGACAGGCUUGUUUUCAUUCCCUGACAUGUUAUGCAAAGUAAUUAUGUACAUUACGACAUUGCUAUAUUCAUAAACUAGGGCUGGGGGUUCGGCAGAAAGCUGUGACAUAACAGAAACCGUGUGUGGUGGUCCCCUACAAUCCUAGCACUUGAAAAGUAGAAGCUGAAGGAUUGGGAUUUCAAAGUCCUCCUCAUCUACACAUAAUGAGUUAACGGUGGCCUAGGCUUUUUAAAAGUCAGUAUAAGCUGCUCUGCUCUCAGUCGUAGAGUACUUGCCCAUCAUGAAGAAGACCUCUGGGUUCAAAAGUCUCAGU